GUCAAACGAGGACAUCCGAUAAAAUUGGGACGAUAUAGAGAAGAUUAGCAUGAGCCUGCACAAAGAUGACACACAAAUCGAGAAUAAUAUCAGAGUCAG